UGGGACCCANGGUUNNUUGAAAUCGCGUUANAAGGNGNGCUAGUAAAAAGUACCUUUGUGGGGUAUNCCUAUAACCNAUGGGGNGUAUNAGNAAUNUACCCCUACUUNGGGAUAAAUAUGCAACGUGCCGGUGUUUAAUACCGGGANGUGUGAAAUGUUGCCCAAAUGCCAUUGUUAUUUGGUGAGGUUGCUUUUGGCAAUCUCGNUGCAAUGUUAGGGCUGNNCAAUGCUAUAAACGUGCCUUUUUGGNAGCAAUUUUCCCGCCCUUGGGGGAUGUACUGGUCGCAUAUGAUUAAAACUUCAAAUGGUAAUUGACGGGGGCCUNGCACNAUCGGUUGAACAUGUGGUUNAAUUCGAAGCUAACGCGCAGAACUCUUUACCAUCCUUUGACAUUGGCGUGUUACCUCAUGAGAGAUUUGGGGUCCACUUCGGUGGCGCGCACACAGGUGCUGACAUGGCUUGUCGUCAGCUCGUGUCGUGAGAUGUUGGGUUAAGUCCCGCAAACGAGCGCAACCCACGUCCUUAGUUGCCAUCAUUCAGUUGGGCACUUNUAGGGAGACUGCCGGUGAUAAGCCGCGAGGAAGGUGUGGAUGACGUCAAGUCCUCAUGGCCCUUACGGGAUGGGCUACACACGUGCUACAAUGCGGUGACAGUGGGACGCGAAGGAGCGAUCUGGAGCAAAUCCCCAAAAGCCGUCUCAGUUCGGAUUGCACCUCUGCAACUCGACGUGCACUGAAGGCCGGAUUCAGANUACGUAAUUCGAUGAUUAGUNCACUGCAUNACGNGUCAUGCCCC
rnacentral:rRNA from 1 species